AGGGCACAGCCUCUGCGGAGAGUAGCAGGGUACAGUGAAUAACCCAGACACUAAAAAGCAAGGCAGCGGGGGUCCUACCAGCGCGGCUUUUGAUGACGUCGGUGAAUCCGUCCUCAGCGGCAUUUUCUGGGGUCUCCUGCAGACCCCUCAGCUGUGCCAUAACCAAACGCCACGUGCCUCAGCUUCCUCACGCCCCAAACUUUGGAAGGCAGGUCACAUGGAAUCUACACAUGGAAGGACAUAGGCAUUGCAUGCAGGUAUCCGGAAUCAUUGAUAUUGGUCUUAAAAUUUGGAAGUUUCCACUUUUGCUAAGACUGCCAUUUAUAAUGAGCCCUACGGAGAGGCCAUGUGGCAAGAAGCUGAGGCUGCCAGAGGGAACCUGAGGCCUGCCAGCAACCACAUACAUGAGUUUGGAAGUUAAUUCUUCAGCUUCCUUUGAGUCUUGAGGUAGCUACAGCCUGGCCAGAACUUGACUAAACUUCAUAAGGGACACUGAGCCAGAAACACCUAACUAAGCAAAUUCUGGUUUUAUGACCUUCAGAAAUUGUGUGAAAUAAUAAAUAUUUGUUGUUUUCAUUA
rnacentral:lncRNA from 1 species